rnacentral:rRNA from 1 species
CAGUAGCCGCGGUAAUACGGAGGGUGCAAGCGUUAUCCGGAUUUAUUGGGUUUAAAGGGUCCGUAGGCGGACUUAUAAGUCAGUGGUGAAAGCCUGUCGCUUAACGAUAGAACUGCCAUUGAUACUGUAAGUCUUGAGUAUAUUUGAGGUAGCUGGAAUAAGUAGUGUAGCGGUGAAAUGCAUAGAUAUUACUUAGAACACCAAUUGCGAAGGCAGGUUACCAAGAUAUAACUGACGCUGAGGGACGAAAGCGUGGGUAGCGAACAGGAUUAGAUACCCCUGUAGUCCCUGUCUCUUAUUC